AAAAGUAAUUGUGGUUUUUGCU
rnacentral:miRNA from 1 species